rnacentral:tRNA from 1 species
GACCCCGUAGUGUAGCGGUUACCACGUCUGCCUGUCACGCAGAAGAUCGCCGGUUCAAAUCCGGUCGGGGUCG